ensembl:lncRNA
ACGCUUCAAAACACUAGGCUUCCUCAGCCAGACCAAAGCAACCGAAGCAGUGAAGAGGCUCACCAGUGAGUGUGCCUUCAUUAUCUCCAAACACACACCACCACCACCACCACCACCACCACAGCCAGCAACAACAGCCAGUCAAGCUGAGGGACCUUCAACCUCCUCAGGUAAACUGUGGCGUCAUUUAGACGCAAGUGUGAAGCAGAAUCGAAAAACACACAACACCACAGCAGAUGCCAUAGUGGAGGUCCAGCGCUACAUGACUGAGCCAAACAUCUUCAGAACGGAUGAUCCACUUCAAUACUGGGCAAUACACAAACAUGUAUACCCACAUCUCUAUGUGCUUGCACAUACAUUUUUAUGCACACCUGCAUCAUCCGUACCUUGCGAGCGGGUAUUUUCAAAGGCGGGUGAAAUGGUUUUUAAAAAAAAAGGAACCGCCUGAGUCCAAAGGUGGUGGAACAAAUAUUGUUUUUAAAUAAAAACCUAGAGUGACACAAAGCACUUUAACCCCCUUUUCACUGCCCUGCACUUUCACUGACCAGUUUUUAAAAAGCACUCACUGCCCUCGAUCCAGUUGCACAAAGCACUUAUGGCCCCUUUUCACUGCCCUGCACUUUUACUGACCAGUUGUCAAAAAGCAUUCUCACUACCCUUGGUUUUACAAAAGUACUGACCAGUAUUCCAAAAGCACUUUAACUACCCUCUGUUCCAAAAUACAGAUGAGAGUAAAGAUAAUUAGCAAGCGUUUUUAUCCAAAGCUUCAGAAUUAACUGGGGAUCGAACCUGCGUGGUCUGCCAAUGGGGCGACGUCGCUAACCGUUGUGCCACCAUACAACACUUACAUUCGUAUGUCGAACAAUUAUUAGAAGAAGAAAUAGAGAAAUAAAGCCUUUAUUGUCAUUGUAUUCCCAUACAACGAAAUUUGAAUUAAUGUAGGUACGUUUUUUUCACCAUACGUUUGUGUGCAUGUUAUUUUAGCAGGCCUUGCGCAGCACAACAAAUUG